rnacentral:ncRNA from 1 species
UUUAAAGCGCCUGGACUAAUCACAUGGACGAAAAAAUGGUGAUUAGUUGACGAGGAGGAGGUUUAUCGAGAUUUUCGGCGGAUGCCUCCCGGUUGAAAAGCACAAUCGUAAGUUCUUCCUUAAACCAUCUGGGGUAACUCGGUGAACAAAGGGAAGAAA